CAGUCCCUUAUUCAUUUUGUUCUCAACCUAUGUAGCUGCUAUAAUGCCUGGAUCUUAAUUUCUACAUAGUGAGCACAUAUACAUAUGUGUUAGUUAUUUACAAUUUUAUAUGUGCCCACUAUUAACACAUUAAGACAUAAGCUCAUUUGUGUACAUGGUAACUUCAAACUUUUGACAAUACCACAAUUGAAAUUCAAAAUUAUUUUCCCAUUUUUUUAAUUUCAUGACUGGGACAACAUCAAAGCAGUAUCAUAGCUACCUGUACACAAGUACGCACAUGCUUUCACAUCAUUUCGCAAAAAGAAAAACAAGAAUAUUGGUGAAAAAUGAAUCUAAAAUAUACAUUAUAUAUACAGGCACUAAUUCUAAAAUGUGUUAUUUGUACGUGCCCCUCUAUUGCAUGGUUAUAAAAUAUGAAAAUUAUUAUUGCUUUAACAAUAUAUACUCUGGGCGAACAGGUAGAUAGGGUGAAUGGACUCGGUACCAGAUGAGAACAGUUACAGUCUCUUUUAGCAUCAUUUCAAUUAUUGCUUGUGCACAUCCAUGUGCAAAACUUUCAGAAAAUAUUGUGUAACAAAAUCGCAUUCAAAUACAGUUGUACAACUGUGUGAAGUCAGUGUUAAUUUAUUUAAUGUAGAAUAACAUUGACUAUGUAUUAAUUGGAGAUAUUAGGUGUGAUAUACAUGUAACAUGCACUAGAUAUAUAUCCAAGUUAGCUGACCUCUGUUAUUUUUCAAAGGGUCAUAAAGGUGGUCAAGAAAUAAAUUGCCAACAGACAGCAGCAUUCCUUGAUUUAGAUGCAUUUCUCUUCAUGCCCUCUCCUGAAAGAUUUUCCAUGAUGCCUCAGGGUUAGGAUUGGGAUGCAAGAUGUACAGUACAUAUAUAUGAUGUCUAUGGGUACAUUGCUGUAAUGGCCUGAAAAAUCUUUUGCGAAACCGAGAAAUGUUCAUCUUCCAUUGCCAUGAUUGUGUAAAAGGACGAGCAGAGGAAUGAUUCAAAAAUAUAUGGCAGGAUUGAGAAUCUAACCCAUGACCCGUAGUCUGGUACUCUACCCACUGAUCAAUCCAUGCUGAUGGUCCAUCUGCUACAUUGAUGUCAUCUUAUAUAUUUAUGUAUUCAUUUAUAUCAUAUGGACAAUUAAAAAUUGACAGUAAAAUAAAAAAAAGUUUGAUAUUCAGCAAAAUAGAAUUUGUUACAAUACAUGUUUAAGAAAUUAAGUACAUGUACAUGCAUUGUUAUGCAUACAAUUAUGUACAUGUAAUUAUAUUUGUUAAUAGAUAAAUUUUUAGAUGAAUUUUCAUGUUGUUAUUGAUAUUGACAUGUACAUGUAUUACUUCCAUUUCUAGAAUGAUUUUAACAUCUUGAUAUUAAAAAGAUGACAUAAUAAAUAAAUCUUAAAUAUUUGUCAACAAA